GGAAGCUAAAGACAUUCGGGUUAGGAACUCUAAGUCCAAGGGUGAUGCCAGGAAAUACCAUUUGUCAUCUCAUGGAAGGGGUCGACAUCAAGAAGAGGCACCUAGACAUAGAGAGGAAGUUCCUCGUGAUUUAUACCUAAGCGAAAAGGACUAUCGAACAUAUGGUCUCCGAUCAGAGAGGAGAAAUUUAGAUCCUGUGUCUCGACCUUCUUUAGAAACAUACAGCAGAGAUCAUGAUAGGGACUAUCAACUGAGACAUCUAGAGCCCAGAUAUAGUGACGAUGUCUCUACACACGC
rnacentral:misc_RNA from 1 species